UACGUAGGGGGCAAGCGUUGUCCGGAUUUAUUGGGCGUAAAGAGCGUGUAGGCGGCUUGGUAGGUCUGCUGUGAAAACUCGGGGCUCAACCCGAGACGUCGGUGGAAACCACCUGGCUAGAGUCCGGAAGAGGAGAGUGGAAUUCCUGGUGUAGCGGUGAAAUGCGCAGAUAUCAGGAGGAACACCGGUGGCGAAGGCGGUUCUCUGGGCAUUGACCUGACGCUGAGGAGCGAAAGUGUGGGGAGCGAACAGG
rnacentral:rRNA from 1 species